UUAAGGGCUCGCGUCGGUCACACACAUACACACACAGGGCCAGACACACGAGUGGACAAGGCAGCGUGCAAGGACAAGGGAGCCAAAGCGGGCGGAGGAGAGGAAGGGAGAGGGAGGGAAGUGUCCUCUCCACCAGGAUGCAAUCCCCUCGGGGCAAAGACACCCAGCAGGGUCGCCAGAGCCGCGGCGGAGACGGGAAGUGACGCCAGGCCUCGGAGCCCAGCCAAGAGGAACCAGAGCAGACGGGCCAAACCCAGUGGCCAGCUCCCAGGUGGGUGGUGGCGCUGGGGGGAGCCGCCUGGGCAGCAUCACCAGCAGCUGGGAACCCUCCUGGCGCGGGAAGGAUGGCGGGAAACGCGGGGCUUUCCCGGAAACCCUGGGCGGGGCCCCGCAGUCCCAUGGGUGCCGGAACCCUCCCGCGGGAAGACCGGUCGGAGGGAUGGCUCGGUCGAGGGAAGCCACCGCCUUUUCUGCGGGGCUCGCCUUCCCCACCUCCCCGAGGAGCCAGUCUGGCGGGAAGCGCCCCAGCCCACGGCCGCCCGCAGCAGAGCAGGAUUCCCUCCCCGGCGGCCACGGCUGUCAAGGGACGGGGAAGACUUUGUUACCCCACCGCGCGCCACGCGCGAAAUGGUGCACAGACACCUCCAGACGCCACCUCCCCCAGGACGCCUGACUGGGGCCGCUCUGCCCACCUCUCCCUGGACGCUGCGUGGUGGGCGGGUGGGGUCGGCGCUGCUUCCCCAGGACCCCACAGACGCGCCCCGAGGCGCUUUCAGAGCACAGUGGAGUGGGAAGGGCGGGGCGGCCCCUCUGCGGCGCCCAGGCCCUGACCUCAGAGGACGCCUGUCCGCCAAGUCCCCAGGGGAGGACAGUGACAACCGGCCGACGCCAGAAAGGGACUUCCCGCCUGCCCCGGAGGGCCGGCCCGAGGACCCGCAGGUGCGGAAAGCGGGACCGAGGGGGAGCGGGGUGGGGCGGGGUCGCCCUCGCCUCCGCCCGCCGGAGCCCACAGCUGCCUCGCUCCCUGCCUCCGGAUCCAUCGCUCCUCUCAGCCUCCAGGCGCCCACCGGAAGCUCCUCCCCUCCCCGCCUAUCCAGCCUCCUCUUCGCCUGUCGUCGCCAAUGA
rnacentral:lncRNA from 13 species